rnacentral:rRNA from 1 species
AUGUCCAGUCAAGGGCAAAAAACGUUCAAGAUCCUGUGCCGCACCAAUGAGGACUACUGCAUCACCGUCCGCUGGGAUGACGACGGGGGCAUCGCGGUCGUCAUGGCGCCAACAAACCCCCGCGACCAGCAGCAGCACUGGUACAAGGACACGAGGUUCAGCUCUACGGAGGACGAGGACGGGUUCCCGGCGUUCGCACUCGUCUGGGCAGUAACUCUGGUGCCGUACAAGUACGACCCAGAGGCGGUGGACGAAUCGGUGCUGUGGACGGAGAGCGACGAUGUGGGCGACGGCUUCCGCUGCAUCCGCAUGAUCAACAACAUCCACCUCAACUUCGACGCGUUGGAUGGCGUGACGGAACUCCAGGACGGCACCCCCAUCGUGCUGUGGGAGUGGCUCGAGGGGGCGAACCAGUCCUGGAUGAUCCUGGCGUGGGGCACCGACGGUGGCCUCCAUCCUGCGCUGUCCUCUGAGUGCACCAUGCGCAUCUUCUGCAGUUCAGGCGAGGAGUACAGCAUCGCCGCAAGGGACGGCGCGGUGUGCCUCGCGCCUGCGGACCCCAACGACGACCUGCAGCACUGGGUGAAGGACAUGAGGCACGGUGAAGACAUCAAGGAUGAGUAUGAGCAGCCUGCGUUUGCCCUGGUGAACAAGGCCACCGGUGAAGCCAUCCAGCAUUCCCUGGAAAAGGGCCACCCUGUUCGCCUUGCGGCAUACGACCCGGACUGCCCGGACGAGUCGGUGAUGUGGAGGGAGAGCGAGGACGUCGGCGACGACUUCCACUGCAUCCGCAUGGCGAGCAACAUCCAGCUCAACUUCGACGCCGUCCAUGGCGGCGA